rnacentral:rRNA from 1 species
UACGGGGGGGGCAAGCGUUGUUCGGAAUUACUGGGCGUAAAGGGCUCGUAGGCGGCCAACUAAGUCAGACGUGAAAUCCCCAGGCUCAACCUGGGAACUGCGUCUGAUACUGGAUGGCUUGAAUUCGGGAGAGGGAUGCAGAAUUCCAGGUGUAGCGGUGAAAUGCGUAGAUAUCUGGAGGAAUACCGGUGGCGAAGGCGGCAUCCUGGGAUAACACUGACGCUCAUGCACGAAAGCGUGGGGAGCAAACAGG